GGAGGCACCGUUGCACUCUGACAGGAGCCAUCAUGGGGAGAGCUCUGAUACAAACCACCCUCUUUGGUCUGUUUCUGACUUUGGUCACCUCAUUACCAAAUAAAGAUGACUGAGACAUCUACAGCUUUCACAUCAACUCCACAGUGACCAGUCGUUACGCUACAACAGUCAUCACAAGCCGUGUGGCCAAUCGAAUGAACGAAUCCAAGGAAGUAGAAUUCCAAGUGCGGAUUCCCAAGAAUGCCUUCAUCAGUAAAUUCAGAAUGUGUGUGAAAUAUUUACGUAGGUUUACACAUGAACAAUAAAAGAGUACGAACUGCAAAUCCAUGCUCGGCCGAUGCAGCCUGUCAGCGACUUCUAGGUAGGUCUCAUCAUGUAGUGGUCAUGCAGGGAGGGUUGGGGUCAUUACAUAUUGAUUUAUGAGUGGUUCUAAGUAUUUCCCUUCCAGGUUGAUGUGUACAUUGAUGAAAAGGCCGGCAUCAGUUUCCUGGAGGUUAAAGGUGGACUAAGCACCAAAGCUCUGGCUAAUGCCAUCACCAAAACACUGACAGACAAACAGGUACAGCAGGAAGUGAUGGCAAAUCCUUACAGUAUGUUUAUUAGUUUGUUUCAUCCGGUUUACUGUGCAGUCAAUGUUGUGACUUCACGUAUUUCAGGCUUGAUAGAGACACACUUGUGAGAGGAAAAUUAAAUUAAAAUGUCUUUAAUGCUCAUAGAGUUUUAUUUUGAAACAUAACAAAUGUGUACCGUCCUAUGUAUGUAUGUUCUAAAUCUGUGCCCUAUUGUCAUCCAGUAAAAGCUGAAAUUGGC